GAAGGCAGCAGUGCUCCCCUGUGACAUGCUCCAUCACCGGGCAGGGAAGACACCGCUGCCACCUC
ensembl:miRNA